GAACAUGUUUCUGCAUCUCUGAAUCCCCAGGACAUAGAACAGAGCCUGGCACAGACGAAAAGGAGCAACAGAAUUUUAAAGCAGAAGCGUGAAAUGUGAGUGAUUGCAAGUCUCACUGAAGUGGCAAAUAACAUGCUCCAUGAUUUGUCAUAAGACACCUUGUGUAGCUCUUGUCCAGACACAAAGUAUAUCCUGGGAGCCAGAGGAGGAGCCUGACCAUAGCGUGAGGAGGCAAUGCUGUUCCACCACCUACAUGACACCCUCUUCAGCAGAAGACCAGCGCGCUUGCCAAGUGCAUCUGAACAAGGCACCAUUCCUCUCUCAGCAUGAUUAGAGCUAGUCUUCCUCCUAGGAAGGCUUAUAAGGAUAAAUUCAGAAGGAAAUCGGAAGAGCACGAGGUGUCCCGCAGAGAGCCCUAGGCUGGAUAUCCAGAAGUCAGAUCUACUUGCAAAUAGGUGGCACUGGGGGUGUCAUUUCAUAUCUCCAGGAGCUGCUUUUCCAGGAGCAAAAUGAGAAGGCUGUUUAGAAGUGCUGGAAAGACCCUCCCAGCAUUGAAGUGCUUAUGAUUCCAUGGAUUUGGUGAUUGUAAUUUCACUUUCCUGCCUAUUAGGGACACACCUGUGUCUACGCUGCAGGGUAGAUA